AAGAUUUCUUGUCCCAUAUUCAGAAAACACCCAAAGACAAAGGCUGAUAUAAGACAAAGUAUUGACUAUAAAAGUGUACUUCAACAAAUGACAACAGUGAGAAAGAAUGUCUGUUCUAUACACAUAUGCUUCAUCAAAGAAAUUUAACCUGCAUAAAAAGGCCAGAAGACAGCUCCGGUACACACCAAGCAAGGACUUCCUUGGAUGGUUGAUAGUGUUUUUUACCUGGCUGGAUAAAAGAAGGAUGGAAGGCAGAAAUCUAUGAGAAGUUCAUGGAAGAAUUGGACAUAAGCCAGAAUUCUG
rnacentral:lncRNA from 1 species